rnacentral:rRNA from 1 species
CUUGAGCCUUAUAAGAGGUCCAGCCUGCCCAGUGACUCUGUUCAACGGCCGCGGUAUCCUAACCGUGCGAAGGUAGCGUAAUCACUUGUUCUUUAAAUGCGGACUAGUAUGAAUGGCACUACGAGGGUUAUACUGUCUCCUUUUUCUAAUCAGUGAAACUAAUUUUCCCGUGAAGAAGCGGGGAUAUAACUAUAAGACGAGAAGACCCUAUGGAGCUUUAAACAACCCAGCAAUUACUUCUAAAAUUAUAAAUUUCAGAAUAUCCACUUUUUAAGUUAUAUGUCUGCAAGUUUUUGGUUGGGGUGACCAUGGAGUAUAACAUAACCUCCAUAUUGAAUGAAUUCCCUUCUAAGCUAAAAAUUACCAAUUGAAGCAUCAACAUACUGACAUCUAUUGACCCAAUAUAUUUGAUCAACGAAC